ensembl:lncRNA
UACAUGUGAUUUUUAAAGUGUUCACAUUUUAUUCUCUUAAAGUUUUUACUUUAAAAAUCUCAACCAAGAAUAGGGUUUAUAAAAGUGAGAGACCAGUUUGCGACACACAGCUAGAAAUACAGGAAACAGAGUGAGCACGCUGUAGUGAAAUCUCAAAUCCUCGGGGAAUGAAGCUGGCAAUUUUGUCUUCAGAAUGACUCUUCCUAUAGGGCUUAAUCCUAUCAGCAAAGGUGUCUUACAGAUGAAAACCCUGCACGAAGAAAGGGCAAAACCACUAUGCAGUGAUAUUUGUCUGAACUUCCCUGGUCUGCUGGAGACCUUGGCAUUUUACUUCCCGGACAUAACUUUAUUCUGCUGGAGCAAUGCUCACAUUGCUCUGGAAACACUGGAAAAUCUCAAGAUGCAGGUCAGUCUGCUCCAUGGAUGAGUAUGAGGCCCCAAGCCAUCUCUCAAACUAAAGAUUCCCCAGCCAGAUAAUGCUGAAGAGUCUUCAACAAGGCAAUAUGAUUACUCUGUGUGCUUAGAAGAAGAGGGAUUAUAAAUGUCAGCUGUUGCUCUUUGACUCCUGCUGAUUGAUUCAUUGAUUCAUCUUUCCAACAGGCGUGUGCUGCAAGUUGAUUAUACUGAAUGACACUGCGGAGGUUAUAAAGAAAUAAAAUACUUUGGGUUUACUCUCAACUAAAAUUCUAAUUCUUUCUACCAUAUAUUCUUAUGUGAGAUCUCAGCCUGCUGUAUCCAAGUCACCUGGUACCUGGACUAGGGCAUUUCUGUAUCAAAUUAACUUUAAAGGUAUUUCAGUAAUUAAUAAUGAUCAAAAGUUGGCCAGGCGCGGUGGCUCAAGUUUGGGAGGCUGAGGUGGGUGGAUUGCGAGGUCAAGAGAUCGAGACCAUCCUGGUCAACAUGGUGAAAACCUGUCUCUACUAAAAAUACAAAACAAAAUUAGCUGGGCGUGGUGGCGCACGCCUGUAAUCCCAGCUACUUGGGAGGCUGAGGCAGGAGAACUGCCUGAACCCAGGAGGCGGAGGUUGCGGUGAGCCGAGAUCGCGCCAUUGCACUCCAGCCUGGGUAACAGGAGAGAAGCUCCAUCUCAAAAUAAAAUAAAAUAAAAUAAUGAUCCAAAAGUUCUAAAUAUUGGGAAACUAGAUGAGGUGGAAAAGAAAAGGCCACUUGGUAGAAAAUUAGAUAAAAUAGGCAUAUAUAAAAUUAAGUGAUGUGUUAUGGGCUAAAAUGUGUCCCCCACAAAAUUCAUGUUGGGGUCAGUACCUCGGAAUGUGACUAUAUAUGGAGACUGGGUCUUUAUAGAAAUAAUUAUAUUGGCCGGGUGCGGUGGCUCACGCCUGUAAUCCCAGCACUUUGGGAGGCCGAGGCGGGUGGAUCACGAAGUCAAGAGAUCGAGACCAUCCUGGUCAGCAUGGUGAAACCCCGUCUCUACUAAAGAUACAAAAAAUUAGCUGGGCAUGGUGGCAUGUGCCUGUAAUCCCAGCUACUCAGGAGGCUGAGGCAGGCGAAUUGCCUGAACCCAGGAGGCGGAGGUUGCGGUGAGCCAAGAUCGUGCCAUUGCACUCCAGCCUGGGUACAAGAGCGAAACUCUGUCUCAAAAAAAAAAAGAAAAAAGAAAGAAAUAAUUAUAUUAAAAUGAGAUAAUUAGGGUCAACUCUAAUAUGACAAGAUAGGCAUCCUGGUAAGAAGAGGGAAUUUGGACUCAGAGGGAAGAAUGCAUAAAGACACGGGGAGAGGAUGACCAUCUACAAGACAAGGAGAGAGGCCUUUCCAUAACAAACCAACCCUGCCAACAUCCAUCUUUUGGAUUCUAGUCUCCAGAACUGUGAAAUAGACUUCUUUUGUUUAAGCCACCCAGUCUAUGGUACUUUGUUAUAGCAGCCCUGGCAAACUAAUACAACAUCAAACUUGGAAAGUCAUUCAAAUGCAUUUACUGAGCAAAUCAUGUGUACAAAUCAUUAUCGUAAAUGUUGCAUAGUAGAAAUUAAUUUAGGCGAAGCUCCUUGAAAUUCACUUCUCUGACAAGUAAAACCACAUUUUUGGGUAUCUGAGGAACACACACACAUCCAGGAACAUAAAGCCAAGUGGGGUAGGGCUUUUAUUAUGGGCAAUUAGGAAUUUUUAAAAUUGGAACUAUCACAAUAAUGGUAAUGAAAAUGACAAUACAAGCUGCCUAUAUUGAGUGUCUUCUCUGUGUCAGAUAUGGCAGUAAGCAUCACAACACCUCUCUUUAGUAGAGAUUUUUAUUACUUUCAAAUAAGAAAACUCUACCUAUCAUCUAUCUGUCUGUCCAUCUGUCUGUCUCAGUCAUCUAUCUGUCUGUCUGUCUAUCUAUCUGGAACCUGAAGCUUCAGUAAGUUGUCUUGUUUGCCCAAGCUCUCAUAGCUGGAAUUUUAAAGAUAAAUUCAUCUAAGUUCUAACUCAAAGCUCUCAUGGUGGAAGGGACAUGAGUAUAGGCACUUACUGUUCUUGCAAGGAGCGUCAGACACUUUCAAAGGAUUCAUCUGCCCCAAGAAAAGUCAGCUCUGUUCCACAGGCCCUAUCAGUGCCCGUGGAUAGGCGCUGGGUUUGAAUGUUUACUGAGAGUUCUGAAAUCCAAACUAGCCCAUCAGGAUGGAAACUAUCCUGGGAAACUUUUCA